rfam:Schistosoma curassoni strain Dakar, Senegal genome assembly, scaffold: SCTD_scaffold0001397
AUCCAGCUGACUAGUCCCAAAUAGGACGAAACACGAGUCAAAUUGGAU